AGUCACUUCUCCACAAAGGCAGGUUAGGAGGUUACCAAAUGUUUGGGUAAAUAAUUAGACGUAUGCAUGUAAUAAGAAAGAAAGUUGUACUAACGUAGUUACUAGGUGUUAAAUAAAGCUUUAUCCUUUAUUUUUUAUUUUUUAAUAGUACCUAAAUUGUAUAAGUUGGAAACCAAAAAAUAAUCUGUAAGUAAAGAGAAAAAAUUUGU